UCCGCCCUCCAUCUUGCUCGGGGUUCCUUUUUCCUAUGCAUAUACUUCUUUGAAAUGUGGUUCUAAAGAGGCAUAAGGCAUGGGAAAAUGGGGCGAUCGAGGUCUUCCCCUCCUCCGG
rnacentral:pre_miRNA from 13 species